CCCGGCCUUGAUUGCGGGAGGGCCACACCCGUUCCCAUUCCGAACACGGAAGUUAAGCCUCCCAGCGCCGAUGGUACUGCACGGGACACUGUGUGGGAGAGUAGGUCAACGCCGGGU
rnacentral:rRNA from 1 species